AUACUCUGGUUUCUUUUCAGACUGAAUAAAUCUUUCACCUUUUACUAAAGAUUUCCAUGGAGAAGGUUUUUCUAUGAAGAAUAUGUUGAAGUUAGAGAAGCUUCUCAUUUGGAAUGAC